UUUAGUGUUCCAGAAAGAAUUUGGAUUGCUCAUACAUGUGGAAAUGGACCAGACUAUCACAAAGUUAAAGUGUAUUUCCAAGAACCCCAACUUUCCCCUUUGGAUGCAUGAAGGGCUUUUUGGUAGAAUCCAACAUUAAGUUCAGUGAUAUACGACAUUAUCCAAAGGAGAAGUGUCCCUGAUCUCAGACCCUGCCUUUCUGAAACAAUCCCUGAUCCCAUGCCAGAUUUGAUACCAAGUGUUAGCCAUAAGCUCUGUCACAGGUUCCUGCCAAUCUAGGUAUUACAACUGUCUCUGUUAUUCUUAGAGGAGUGGCUCUCUGUUAACCUCAAAUCAAGGGCUGUAAUUUGUGGUUGAUGGCACACUUUGAGAUGUGUCUGAUCUCUGUGCCUCAGGCGGCGAGGCGCAGGCCUUGAUUAGAGACAGUUACAUGUGGGAACUACUGCGCUAACCGCAAGUCGGAGCAAAUGUCAGCCGCACGCAUGUCAUGUGUCUGUUGCAGAGAUAUAUUAGGGUGAGACCUGCAGUAGGAAUAUCUUUGUAGUGUGGACUACAAAGGUAAGAGGGGCGGUAUUUUCAAAGCAAUCACGAGGUAUUUUAACUUUCUCUUUCAAGGUUUCAGAUCACAGAAUACAUUUUCUGACACAAAAGACUUGAUCCCUAAAAACAAGGAUUCUUUCCCAGAGGAGAUUCACAACUUUCCCUAUUUACACACCGUGUAGCUCAAUGGAGUCACACAGAAAUGAACAUGGGAAACUUUCUUUUCUUUUGUUUUGCAGAAACUUGCAUCACUUUCUUGUUAGAUGAUGAAACCUCUUUCCUUUAAUGCAUAGAUGGCAAUUAAGGGUUUAGUGUUCAAUGUCACAGCACGGGUUAAAUGGUUAUUUUUCAAAAUCAGACAAUACAGCUAUAAUACAUAUGAAAAUGAUAAAUAAUUAGGAUUGAAAUGACCAUGCUGGCUGUAUUAUCUCACCAUCAGUAAUAACUCUUCUCUCUGACACACAAAAAUAAAGAUUUGACCAGCCUUAUUUUGAGAUUAUGUCCACUCCUGCAUGCCCACCCUCCCCCCUCUCCCCCACUCCUCACUACACAGGAGUAGAUGUUGAAAGGCUGAAAAGAAAGAGCGGCACAAGGAGAAUAAAACACAGCCACACCUUUCAGCGCCUGUGCUCUUGAGGAAUUUGAUGAGCGACAAAAGACGAACAUUUUGAAGCCCUAUUCUGCCUAAGUAGCAGUGCAUAUAGUGAACAACUAUUUACGCAGUAGCUGAGCCGGGGAGUUGCCUAUGGAUUCAUUAGCCUCUUUGGGGCCUCCCAACUCUUCAGUCCCCACCGACUCUCUCCCUCAAUGUCUCUCUCCCUCCCUCUCUUUCUAACGCCCUCAAACGCCUCACUCUCGCUCUUUCUUUCUUUCUUUCUUUGCUGUCUAUAAGAGGUUUUUAAGCCUAGCCAGUGUUUGUAAUUAGCUCCCAAUGCUGGAAUGGAACAUGUUGAGGUGGGUGUUAAUGGGCUGGCCAGGCCCUUACUCGCACAGCAGGCUGAGAGCAGAAACAGAAACCAGUCUUUGUUCCUUGGAUAGGGAGAAGACAAAAAGUGGGCAUUAAAAGUGUGCAGAAGGACCUCUGGAAAAUAUUAAGCGGCAUUCAUAUUUUAAAAGAACACUUGGACCUAAGCACAAGGCCGCUAUAAUAACUGUCACCUCUCUGUAUGUGCUCAGCUGGAAACUCUCUGGCAACUCAAUGUAAAAUUUCAGCACUACAGUCUACCUCUGAAAAGUAUUACCCCCUUUUGAAACAGUUUUCUUGGUCAUAAAUAAAAAAAGAUUUUUCAAAAACGUCUAAGUUUUAACGCUUUUAAACUGUUUUAGCUUUAACUGUUGAAAAUUAGAGGUGAAAAAGAACGAAAAUGAAGAUUAAACAUGCAGGGAGAAGGGACAACAGCAAAUUGUCUUACAGUCACUUUCAAAGGAGAAGGAGCAAAAAAUUGCUGCAUUGUAUGUUCAGUCUUUCAGGUCAGAGUUCAAACGCACUGGGAAAGCAGUGGGCGUUAUUCUGAAACCUUUCAAGAUCUUCCCCUCUCUUUUUUUUUUUUUUCUGGCAUCUUCACAUUGAGCUGUGCGGCUGCUGGAGCAAUCCAUUACUGUGUCAAAGUUCUUGUUCUGCGUUGGCCUGGAAGCAUAGUGAAACAGCUUGUUUUCAUUUCAGUAGGGGAAAGGCAGGACUCUGUUUCAAGUCCCCUGCCCCUCCAGAUGUGCUGCGAUCAAGGGAAGUUGACUAUGCGCUUUGUGUUCUUUAGGACACUAAUGUGAUUAUGUCACAUAUUUUCAGCUGAUUCCCAUUGCUAUUAGUCGUGGUGUGGGGUCUAUGCUUCAAUGGACUCUAUCAGGACGGGAGUUAGAGGGAUUUUUCUUUCAGCAAAGUCUGAUUCCUAGCCAACCAGAGAACACUAAGAAGUGUGUGUGUGUGUGUGUGUGUGUGUGUGUGUGUGUGUGUGUGUGUGUGUGUGUGUGUGUGUGUGUGUGUGUGUGUAGCUUUGAUUGUGUGUGCAUGUGUAUGUAAAUCUCUCUGUCUGUGCUGUUGAGUAUGAUAUUUAAGCUCCUCUAAUCCUGUCUAAAUAAUUCACUUGUGUUUUGGUGCUUUAUGUUUCCCUUUGACAAAACUCACAAACUUAGUCUAUAUUACAUUUUUAUUGGCCUUACAUUUUUAUCUCCUCCAGAUCCUGAAAUGUGUCUUAGCUUAUGAUGUAUUUGCUGCCGGUGAGAAAAGCUACCUCGUGAAGCUUUUUUUUUACGUGUACCUACAUAACUUAAAAGCUACAUUUUCUUAACUUAGUGCCAUGCUAUGAAAAAACAGACUGUUUCUUUAAAUCACAAAGAAAGAAAGGUGAGUUAAGGCUCUCAUAACUAAUGCAUUCACAACAUCAAAAAUAGAAAAAUUCAAGUGUCAGCUUCUGUAAAGUAAGAGUAUCUGUGACAUUUUUUUCUGUGCUGUUUAAUUUUAAUUAGAUUUGUUUAAGACAGUUGUACAGUUAAACAGUGUCAGCAUAUUAACAAUGAUAGGAGAGAGGCAACUGGGUGGUAUUACAAGCUGAAUGAUAGGUAGUUCACAGAGUUUUACUCCUCUGGCAUUUCAUCGCCAUGAAAGAAACCAGCCACAACCAACUAAAGCCAGUAUGUUAGCCGCACCGCUCUUUCUGCUCUACUAAGUCUACAGAAAUAGAAGAGUCGAUGUGUGUGUGUGUGUUUUAAUGGUCCCUACAACAUGAAAAAAUACAGUCUUGGAGCUGUCACAACAAAAUAGUAUUGACAAUAUAAGACACUGAUAUUGCGCUUAAAAAGACAAUAAGGAACGAUACAGUCACUAUAGAGAAGUGAUCCAUAAUGCAGGUUUCCACACAUUAUAAAACAGAAGAAGAAGCAGCAGACUGCUAGCAAGGUAGCUAAAGCAGCCCCCUGAGUGAUGAUUAGGAACUUUAAAAAACUGAAAUUCAAAAUUUAUUGUAAACAAAAAAAUCAACAUUCGGGUUUGUACCUCUUUUUGUUUAUUAAUCUAUCAAACAUUUAUACUUUCUAGACAUUUUUGUGACUGUUUUUAUUGGUUUAUGUAACUUAGAUCUAUGACUUAUCAGAAGUAGUUAACUUUAAUGCAGAAAACGUGUUUAUCAUACUAAUGAAGAAUUUCUUUUCCUCUGUCUGACUUACUGUGUUUUUCUUUUUUUUUUAAGUAUUUGUUGGGCAAUUUUAGCCUUUUUAAUGACAGGACAGGGUGAAAUGUGGGGAGACAGAGAGACAUGGGGGACGACAUGCAACACAAGGUCAGGGCCGGAUUCAAACCCACAACUGCUGCGGGGAUUGUGGUCCCCAUGUAUGGGGACGUGCUAACCCGCUCGGCCAUCUGCACACCUUCUGUGUGGUUUUCUUCUUUAAAGUUUCCCACAAAUAUCACGAUAAUGUCAUAAUGGCUAAUUUUGUGGUGACAAUAAUUGUGAGGUAAAAAUCUGAUAUCACGUCAGCCUUAUGCUGCACACCAUGACAGAUGUCAUCAGUGGUCCAAUCAAACAUUAAAGAAGAAAAGUAAUCCUAUUUGUUCCUAAAAAGCACAAAUUAUUACAUAUAUAGGAGGACUAUUGUGAAGGUGUUAUUUAAUGAGUCUUGGUCAGGAGAUUGCUCUGUACACUGCAGCUCCUCAGAAAAAAAGGCGAACCUCUAAUGCCAAUCUGUGAACCAUUUGAAAGACUGAAAAAAGCCAAUUUUAGCAAGUUCCUGUGAGAAACAGCCGCUACAGUAUGCUAAAUAAAGAGCAUUGGCCUUGCCCCAUGCUUACUGCAAAUUUUCCCUGAAUGUGUCUGAUAGCUGAUGAGGAGCAGACAUGUUGAUUGGAGAAAGCAUCGGACAUCUCAUUUAAUGUAGCAGGCUGUCUUCAAACAUGUCCGCUCACUGUAUGGCAGCAUGACUGCAUAUUAUAAAGAAUGGCAGCGUAGCUACACCACAUACUCUCACCCGCCACUAGAUUAGAGGCCAGCUGGGAAGACAGCUCCAUCAUCUGCGUAUCCAAAUGGUGGACCCCACUUUCCCUUAAGCUGCCAGUCUGGGUAAAAACAGGAUUAUGCCUCCUGCUUGCCGACUGGGCCUAGAUUUGGUCCCUGAUGGCUGCCAAACUAUUUUGUGACAGGCCGUUGUCUUCAGCAACUCCACUCUCAGUACCCAAAAUCGAGAAUGGGAUCAGUAACUGAUGGUUUUAGUUGGGCUUAUCAUAGGGACUUGGAUUAGAUACAAAAAACUCCCAAACUUAGCGUAAUAUCAGCAACAUAAGGGAAUACACCCUCAAAGUUGCACAAGAAAAGGAAAGGAAAGGUGCAUUUCAAGGUAUCUACAUUCAAGCAAGGUGAUGGUCUUAUGUCACCAAGGCUCCAUGGAUGGUAUUAUGCUCUGCACUGCCAUCACAAUCAAGAACCACAGUACAAUUUUACCUGACAAAUGCCCGACAGGUUACUUUAUUUUCAAACUUAGAGGCUUGACUUUUGCUUCAGCCAAAGUGGUAGAUGAAAGGUAAAGAUGAAAAUAUGAAUGAAACAAAUUUCAACAAUUUCCUGGUUGAAGCAUCACGGCCCGGCCCUUGUUGCCAGCAGGGUUGAAGUGUGAUGCAUAUAGAAAAAGAUCAGUGGUCAAAUAAUAAGAGUAGACAAAGUUAACACAUCUCAGUUACUAAGUAUGGUUUCAGUGAAACCGAUACAUUUUCUUCCCCGACAGUCUUUAUGUGCCGAACCAACACUCAAUGGAGCUUGUUGUUUUAUCACAAGAAAAAGAGAGGAGUUAGAGCCUUCAUUGAAGCACUCUCUUUUAAAGUUUAAUACAACACGCACGUCAUUGAGCUUUUCAAAAGUGAUGCAGGGAUGUUACUUAAGAGAUACAGCACAGCACAACAGAAGCUAAAAGCUCUACGUAUUGUCAUUAAGCGUACAAAUGUCUCCUUUGUGCAGAGCUUGUCUUAUUAUCUCUAAGUUCAAGGGGCAAACAGCGAGGAGACAGUGUAUAUAUAUAAAGGUUAUCAAAGAGGUUCUGUGCUUGAUUUGCUCUGUCUCACCACAAGACAAGAACUUCAUUUGACCCAAACAAGCUUACUUGCGUAUCUUCAUCGGCGGAGUAUAAACAUGGCUGAAAGGGCUGGUGAAAAACUCAAGGAUUUUAUCUGAUGAGGGGUGACAGUUUACAGGAGAUGAAUUGUGUGGUGGAGAUAAUCAUGCAGAGGGGCCGCCACAUUUCAACAACAAAUAUCACCUUUAAUAGUCUACUAUCAUCUGUAUGCGUAGAGGGCAGGGUUAAUAGCCCUUUAUUCUACUUUAUAAGUUGGUAAAGUUUUAAGUGGGGUACAACUGGGAAAUACAGAAUGAAAUCCAGAUUAACCCCAGGGCCAGAAAUGAGUGUAAAAGUUUCUCUCCUUUUGAUGUGAUAUACUUAUCCUUGGAUGGUUUUCAUUUAGCUUUUACUUCUUUGUUAAACUAAGAAAGAAUGAGUAAAGAACGUCACAUGGUUAAGUUGUGAGGUGGGUCACAGUCUCAUGAAAUAUAUUGAACAGAAGAAACUUAUGAGCGAGAAACAAAUAAAAAUGACCUGCGAGAAAACUGUCAAACUUCUUUGAUCGCCGAAUCAAAGAAACCUCUUGAAAUAAUGUGAAAAAUGGCAAUGUCAACAGAUCUCACAGAAGUCUGCUCGUAGAAAUGUCUAUGAAUACUUGUAAUUAAAUUUCAUUUUUCAAGUUAAACAAAUUUGUAUUUGGGGGCACAGGUUUGGCUCAGCUGGAAGCGCUCAUUUCACUUUAAACAUAAUUAAAAGUCAUAAUUUUAAGAGACUUUUAGAAUUAAGAUACACUUUUGAUUAUACCGUAUUAAUUAAUACUCAUAAUCCUGCCAGUUUCUGAUCUAAACAAGCACAUCUACAAGAUUGGAGGUGAUUACAAGAACUAAAGGGAACCAAAAAGUCAGUUUUAAUUCAAUAAAUAUUCAUUAUAAAUAUUUUGUAGUCAGUGCACAAGAGGAAAACUUUAUUUCUUUAAAUCUGUCAGCUUUACAUGAGAAUUUUGUUAUUUUUUUGUACACACGACACAGUAGACAGCGUCGGCUUUGUGUGUCACAUGUCUUACUGUAAUUACCCUACAGAGGUUAAGUGAUGAUUAAGCCAGAUAACACAUGUUGGAGCGCUAUUCAAACCACCGCAGCGUAGAACGUGAUAAGUAUUUCAGCAAGAAAACAAGUUCACGUCAAGGGACAUGCACUUAGGGUGGGAUUUCUGACGUUUGCAUUGCCACAAACUGGAUAAUCCUGCUGUCAACAGUUUGUUAAAUGCAAGAGCCACUUUCUGGGUUCAUCACUGUUUGGAGCAGAUUAGUAGAGGGUAGUGGAUCUCAUAUGGCCCGGUCAGAGGCCAUCAUUGAAAGGCUUAAAGGAUUAAUGUUGUCUCGCGCUCUCACUCUGUCUCUCCAAUAUUCAAUCAAACUCUGGGCUGUCAGAGCACAUCCAGCAUGAUUUGUACAAACACGUCCCAUCAGCGAAGUUUAACAAUACUCAUCUAUUUGCUGAACUCUGUACAAGAACAUAUUCUGUACUUCUGCCAGAUGGUUUGUUUAAGGAUUUUCCUGACUCCUGUUUAGCUCUCAGACAUAUCAGUAUUACAGCAGAGAGUGUUGCAGCGCAGAGAAAAGCUAUCUAUUUCAACAGAGUCAUGAUGUAGUAGUGUCCAUGGGCUCGAGGAGGAGGGGUCAAAGGUUAAAUCCCUGCUUAAAGACACUGUAGUGAGCCUUUUCUAUCAACAGACAGGCCAUUUCAGUAUGUGUUGGAUAGGAUGUAAUUUCCCAUCUGCUUUAUGGCUAUUUCUGAUCCCUGGGCUCUUGUCAGCAAACUCCUCAGUGCAGAUAUCAUCAGUAAUAUAAGGAGGACUCUGGCAAUACUUAGGGCCUUAAAAGGCCCUUCACUUCCCUCCGUCAUGUGGAUGGCUUAAGGAGUUUGAGAGCGCAGGUCACAAGUAAACGUUUCACAAACACUAUCAAAUAGCACAGAUUUAAGUAGCUUAGGACAGCUUCCUUGCCCAAUGUUGCUGCAAGUGUGUGAGUACGUGUGUGUGUGUGUGUGUGUGUGUGUGCAUUUGUGGAUGUGUGACUUGGAAAAAGCUUUCUGUUGCUUGAAUCAAACUUUUUUGCCCUGUUAUUUCAUUUUAAGUGUUUUUAUUUAAAUAUGUUAACCACAUCUCAUCUUUAUACCUUAAGGUUUUUGUCAAGUUGUUCUGAACGCACGGUUAAAUCUCAACCGCUUAUCCUCAUAUUUAAGUUUUUAAUCAGGUACUUUAUAACAAUCCUCCUCAGGUGGAGAUAAAACUAAAAACUACAGAAGUGCUCUCUUUGAAAUGUAGUUUAAAAAUGUCUCUGUUACUCAUUUUAUGAAGUGUUUUAUGAGGAAACAUAACUGUCUCUUCAGCAAAACAGGUGCUUGGAGUGAACCCAACUCACGAGAGAGAUGACAUACAGAGUUGAGAUGUUUUACGCCAGUGCUCAGAUGUGUAUCUGUGUCCAGCGUGUAAUAAGGUUAAGUGGGAAAAACACUUCACUUAAGGUAAAUGAAAGACUGAGUAAUGAGCCCCGGGAGUAAUAGGGGUGUGAAUCUCUCCCUUACAAGACGAUUCGAUUUGAUUCAAUCCUCAGUGAUACAAGAACAGUUAAUGAAAACAAAGAAUAAUAAAUGAAUCCCAAUGUUAAUUUUUAUUCAAUAUAACUGAGUAAAACAUUACAGACAAAUUUGUCUUUGGCAAACAAAUGUUGUUUUAUUGCUUUUAAUCUAAAGUAAUGAUGAAGGAACUCAGGUCAGGCAAUCAUCUUUUCUGAGUUACAUUAAUACAGCACUGCUUUGUGAUAAAUGCUUAUGUUAGCAUGCUAAGAUGCUUAAAAUGACAACACUUUUGUUCAUCCAAAUAUUUUUGUAGUUUUACUAGUUAUAGAGAGGGACAUUUGAUGCUGAGAAAAACAAUGUAAUUUUUUAAUAAUGUUGAAGGGAACAUACUGUAUUUUCUGGACUAUAAGUAGCUCCAGAGUAUAAGUCCCACCAGCCAAAAAAUGCAUAAAGUAGAAAAAGCUGUGUAUAAGUUAUACCACCCAAAAAAUGCAUUAAGUAGAAGAAAAAGCAUAUACCGGUAUAAGUCACAUUUUUGGGGGGAAAUUUUUACAAAAUCCAAGACCAAGCACAGAUAUUCCAUCUAGAAAGGCAAGUUAUAAUAAUAACAAUAGAAUGGAGAACAAAAGGCUGAAUAAGUGUAUGUGAUGCUAAUGUAACAACAAACUCAGUAGGUGUCUGGUAUGUUAACGUAACAUAUUAACAGUUGUUCGGAUAACUAUAGUAUAAAAAACAUAACAAGUUUACCAAACUCUCGAUCUCAGUCCAAAUCACUAAAUCCAUCGAAUUCUUCAUCCUCGUUGUCACUUCUGAACAACUCCACCAACUCCGGAGGUGGACGAAGUGCUGCUUCCUCUUCUGUGUGACUGUCGUUAGACUAUAUGUGAAAUUAUAUAUUUUAAGUUAUAUAAGUCGCAAACCCAGCCAAACUAUGAAAAAAAGUGCGAUUUAUAGUCCAGAAAAUAUGGUAUGUAAUCUAUAGGUAGGCAGGGUUAUUAGGGUUCAUGGUCAGGUAGCCAUUCAUUUCUGUUGAUAUUUUGUGGCCUGCCAUAAAAGCCAGAAGGACCACAAAGGUGGACAAUCCCUGUGGUUAAACUCACACUCACAAACCUAGGGUGGGUGGGUGGUGGGUGUCUGACCAUUUGCGCAGAUUUACUGUUAGGUUAGCACAAUAUCCUGUAUUGGAGUCAGGGUUGAAUUAGUGGUGCAAAUUCCCCCAGAUUGGUACAAAAUGCUUUGCUGACUCAGCAUAAACUGCACGGGCUGUGUAGCGAGGUAAUGAGGAUGCCAUAACGGGGGACUUUUUUUUUUUUCAGAUCACAGAGUCAAAAGGCAGCUACAGCCUGGUCAUAAAUGACUGUGAGCAAAAAUGCUCAUUAGAAGAACAUUUAAGGGAAACACUAGUUCACCGUUCAACCAUGGCGCUGUUGUAAAAUGAAUUUCUUUUUUUUUUUUUCUUUUUUUCUGCUUCAUUAUAGGCAAACAGAAUCUUGGCAUGUGAAAUGAGUUAUGAACACGCUCUUGAGAGGAAUACAAAACAGCAUGAGCCUUCGUCUGGCCAGGAGUGCUGUAGUUAUAAUAUAAAACAUUAACUUGGCUCCGUGGCAUCAUCCCGACACAUGUUAGCUUAGCAGCCAAAUGCCAAAUCUCGGUGAAAAUAAUUGUAUGACAAGUUGAUUACAUAUGCUUAAGUCCUGUGUAAUUGUGAGGUGUUUUCUGAGAAUAAAGAGGUGAUUUCAUUAUUUCCAGACCUUUUAUGAAGGAUGACAUCUGUCUUUUAAGUGAGCUGCUUUUUUGAUUGCACAGGCUAACACAGAAAGUGGUUUCCAAAGAAAUCAGUUUAAUUGUGCUUAUAUGUGCCUUUGCAUACCAACUCCACACAAAAAAACAUUGAAAUCCUUCUGUUCCUCACUUACAAGUCUUGGACUAUCAUCUGAUCCUCCACUCCCACCACAGUACCACAGAGAUAUCUGCCUUUAUGACCCAACCGCCAACCACUCUGCUUUAAAAAUCCAGCUGUUUCCUUUCUCCUAUUUAACUCCCUCUUUUCUUCAUUCAUGAAUCCUCCUCGCUCGGAGGGAACUGUUGGUGGGUGGAUGGCAUUUAAGACAAUGAAUUGUUUUCUCUGAGUCACUCAAUGCACAGGGCCCAUAUCCAGCUGUGUUUCUUCAAGCAUGAUACACUUCACUUGUUAAACAAGGUCAUUAGUUAGUCAACACUUCUUGGGCUGCCUGGCAAAGAAUUAGUGAUGACAGUCUCUCCCUCAUGCUCCCUCCCACACAGCCAGAGCCUCCCACUACAAGUUUUCUCUGCUCCCCGCCUGCUCUGCUCAUGGGAAAGUCCCAACGCUGCUUCAAGUAUGACCCCGGUGAGUGUUAUCAAGGAAUG